UACGUAGGGUGCGAGCGUUAUUCGGAAUUACUGGGCGUAAAGCGUGCGCAGGCGGGUUUUUAAGUCAGGUGUGAAAUCCCCGGGCUCAACCUGGGAAUGGCAUUUGGGACUGCAAGGCUGGAGUACGGCAGAGGAGACUGGAAUUCCUGGUGUAGCAGUGAAAUGCGUAGAUAUCAGGAGGAAUACCGAUGGCGAAGGCAGGGCUCUGGGCCGAUACUGACGCUCAUGCACGAAAGCGUGGGGAGCAAACAGG
rnacentral:rRNA from 1 species